rnacentral:lncRNA from 10 species
GUGUACUCCAACAUGAAAACGGAGCAUGCAUGUGAGCUGAGUAGUGACAUGCAACAUGCAUGUCCAUUGAUCCUUGCUGCUCAUUCACAUACAGUGUUCGCGAUGCCCCCUGGACACAGAAUUCCAGUGGACCCACCACGUGUGGGGAUUCAGGGGAGACUCAAAGCAAAUACAAGACAAGGAAAUGGAAUUGACCCUGAAUCAGAAGAGCUCCGUAUCCUUCUUCUUGGAUGAACCGAUCCAGAUCCCUUUGGGGAUGUCUUUCUGCACUUUUCCCCAUAGCGUCAGCUUUUGGAACUCAAAAGUAGUAGAUAUCCCAGGGACAGAGUAUUCAAAGCUUUACUGUGUUAGGGAUCGAAGUGACAGCAGAGUAAGGAAGUAAAUCCAGGAUGCAGGAGUUUGGGUGGACAUGCCAGGGCUGGUUUGUCUCUACCUACACUUGUGACGAUUAAUAAAGAAAACAAGUUCUGUUUUCCGUAAGUCCCUUAUUCAUUCCAAAACACCUCUGCAUGCCAAGCAUGGAGAUCCUA